rnacentral:rRNA from 1 species
UACGAAGGGGGCUAGCGUUGCUCGGAAUCACUGGGCGUAAAGGGUGCGUAGGCGGGUCUUUUAAGUCAGGGGUGAAAUCCUGGAGCUCAACUCCAGAACUGCCUUUGAUACUGAAGAUCUUGAGUCCGGGAGAGGUGAGUGGAACUGCGAGUGUAGAGGUGAAAUUCGUAGAUAUUCGCAAGAACACCAGUGGCGAAGGCGGCUCACUGGCCCGAUACUGACGCUGAGGCACGAAAGCGUGGGGAGCGAACAGG